UGGAGCGCGAAUUCCACCAAUGUUGGCCAAACCAUUCUUCCGUGACACCCGAAUAAUGCACCCCAUCUGAUGAAGUCCCAGACAAAACAUCUCCGAUGAUGAUCAUGUAGACAACAAGGGUCCCGAGAUUGUUGAUCACGACACAAGCUUGCAGCAAUGUACGACCAAAGCCACCGAACGCAUCGCCAGCGAGGCCAGAGUAGGAGG
rnacentral:misc_RNA from 1 species